rnacentral:rRNA from 1 species
CCGCCGGCGACCGGCGCACGGGUGAGUAACACGUAUGCAACCUGGCCGUGACAGAUGGAUAACCGGGAGAAAUCCCGCCUAAUACAGCAUGACGCCGGGAAGGGACAUCCCUUUCCGGCCAAAGGGGGCGACUCCGGUCACGGAUGGGCAUGCGGCGCAUUAGGUAGUUGGUGGGGCAACGGCCCACCAAGCCGACGAUGCGUAGGGGUUCUGGGAGGAAGGUCCCCCACAUUGGAACUGAGACACGGUCCAAACUCCUACGGAAGGCAGCAG